GACGAACGCUGGCGGCGUGCCUAAUACAUGCAAGUCGAGCGGACGGAUGGGAGCUUGCUCCCAGACCGUCAGCGGCGGACGGGUGAGUAACACGUGGGCAACCUGCCUGUAAGACUGGGAUAACUCCGGGAAACCGGGGCUAAUACCGGAUAACUCUUUCCCUCACAUGAGGGAAAGCUGAAAGAUGGCAUCUCGCUAUCACUUACAGAUGGGCCCGCGGCGCAUUAGCUAGUUGGUGAGGUAACGGCUCACCAAGGCGACGAUGCGUAGCCGACCUGAGAGGGUGAUCGGCCACACUGGGACUGAGACACGGCACAGACUCCUACGGGAGGCAGCAGUAGGGAAUCUUCCGCAAUGGACGAAAGUCGGACGGAGCAACGCCGCGUGAGUGAUGAAGGUGUUCGGAUCGUAAAACUCUGUUGUCAGGGAAGAACAAGUACCGGAGUAACUGCCGGUACCUUGACGGUACCUGAACAGAAAGCCACGGCUAACUACGUG
rnacentral:rRNA from 1 species